rnacentral:lncRNA from 1 species
AAACUUUUACAAAACUAAGACAGUCUUAUGUAUCAGCAGUUAAACAAAUUCAAUGAGAUCUGAUUUGCACGAUGAGACUACAAAACCUCCACACUAGCUAUACAUGCUUUUCUACACUGAAAAACCUUUGCUUGUGUAUAACUUGAAAAAUUUUACUUAUGCGACAACAAUGCUACUGUUUCAAUUGCUGUUUCAGACAAUCUCCAUGGUGAAAGGAAGCUAAUGUGAAGGGGUCUGUCAAAGCAACAAGAAGACAAAACCCCGUUAUUACCAUUAUCAACAGCACCAUUACGCAACAAUACUACGCUAAUAUUUUCACUCAACUUUCACUUGAAGACCUGUCAAGCACUAGCAUUACAUCCCAAUGAAACAGACAGGGUAGUCAAUGGACAAAUCUUGUGCAAUCAUUGACCAAAGUUGCCAAACACAUGCAGUAUUAUUCAAAUUAUUCAUGAAUACACUCCAACCCAAAGGGCAAUUCUCUAAUAUAACAAGCACAGGUACAAAACUAGGCAAUAUAUUAGAUAUAUACUAUGUUGAUAGCUAAUCAGAGGAUUCUCUCAAUGUUUAAGUUUCCCUGCUAGCUUAUGGUACCAGAAGUUGACGGCUUGUGAAGACCAUUAACAUGUACUUUUGCACCCAAACAAAUGUUUACAUGUUCUAUCUUUACUUCGGUAUUUAAUAAGACUAUAUCUAGAAUCAGUCCACAAGCUUCCAGUAGUGCCAUUGAACUUCAAGCGGCUGAGCACAAAGAUCCAAUAUGUCUCAUCCACCAACAGAUGAUUGUGAACUGGUUACUUACCAUCAUCAGCCAUUACACAACAUCAAACAGUUAUCAGUGGUGGGGAACAUGAGAAAUCCUGAGAACAUCACAUGUUCUCAAAUAAACUAUGCCUGACACAGACCAACCUUUCUUCAAAUCGAAUAACAUAUGGAUUAAAACUAUUUAAUCAGAUCAUACAAGGCACUACCCUGAGAAGCAAGGUUUCCCGCUGGCUAUUCUAGGAACUGUUUACAUGUCCAUGUUCUCUGAGACUCCUCACUAUUCUCACACCAAACCUCAAUACUUCUUUCAAAGCCCUUCUUCCUUCUUUCAAACCUCUGGCCAACCAUUCUUCAAAUAUGUUUUCAUGGUUCUUCAUUAAGGCUUUGUUCCUCAAUCGAUUGAUGCUACUGUGUUGAGUGCCACAUGGAUGAUUCCUGUGACUCUCAAACCCUCUCAUGUGAGCUGUCCUGGCUGGAAGAGCCUCUUCAGGGCUUUGAUGGAGGAUCCUAUUUACUGCUGAGGAUGUAGCGUGGAUAUUUGUCGACCGGAACAACCAACUCUGUUGGUAUAGUACAAUUUCCUUUUGUCUUGAUGCCAGCUCUAGCAUCUAAUCCAGAAAUAACUAGGUGUGAGACUCCAAAACCUCCACGCUAGCUAUUUAUGCUUUUCUACAUUGAAACCUUUGUUUGUGUAUGCAUUGAAAAAUUUUACUUAUGCGAAAACAUUUUAGGUUGUCUUUUCAUAACAUACAAAGAAGAACAGAGGCAAUUGUGGUUUUCUGGAUGCAGUGGUGGUGUCUGAGGUUGUGUGGACAUCAUGAUGAAAAUGCUCUCACAGUCCCCCACAAGUGUUAACACUUCAAAUAAAUGGAUCUUGGAUUUCCAUAGUUGUUAUUGAGUUGGUGAUGGAAGAGAUCAAUAUGUUUGCUUUAAGGAAAGCGAAGGCAUUAUUCUUUUAAGCCGCAAAGCAGCUUGUGAGAUCAUUGGCUCAGGGACAAUGAAGAUCCAUGCAUUUGAAGAAAAAGUUGCUCCGACUGGGUGUUUUAUUUCCAAACGCCACCAUUACACGUACAUAGUUUCAGAUUUUAGCUUUUAUUUGCAAUCACCUUAUAAUUAAGUGGCUUUAUUCUAAUUCUCCCACUGCAGGUAACCUAUACACAUAAUCUCCAUUCAGGCGAACACAAGAAGUUUUAGGUCCACAAGUCUCCUCAUGCAUACAUCUUCUGACAAACAAAGGAGGAUUAUCGAUAUCAUGGUCCUACUCAACUUACCAGUUCUAGCACUUCACCUUCAUUGUUAGGUGCUCAAGCAUUCCACUCUUGCCAGGAUCUUUCCUUUAUGGAUUGUCGCGAACCUUUUGGUUGAUUUUGGCUUGUUUUGUUGCAUAAAAUCCUUCUACUUUUCCUACCCUUCUCUUGUCACUCAUGCACCCCCCAUGCAUAUCGCUUCCUCUAGUCUUGCCUCUAAGUAACUGUUGGGGUAAACCCAUCGACCCCGACUUUGGUCUCCACGACUUCGACUGAUCGACUCCGACUCGGCAAUAGCCGACCGACCGAAUGUAUGACUCCGACUGAUCGACUCCGACUCAGCAAUAGCCGACCGACCGAACUGACGACUCCGACUCUUCAUCAACCGAUAGAACAAAUAUCACCGACUUAUGGCCGGUGACCGACGAUACAGCAGAAUCACCAACUAACGACCGUGCCUACUACCGACAUACAGUCGGCUAAUCUGCUCAAUAUGCCUUAACCGUCACGAACGAUUACCAAUCGCACAUCACGGCGCCAUAAUUGGGAAAUCAAUGACUCACUACGCGAUUAUGGUCCGAUGAUUUAGCGCCAUAAAAUACGGGAUAAAAAGGGGUAAGGAAAACGAAGUUGGUAAGCCACUUCUGAUCAGAACUCUGCUACUCUGAAUAUUGACAUCUACUGUUCACCAACUUCCCUCUCUAACUUAAGCAUCGGAGAAUCCCCGCCGGACAUAAAUCUGAUCAGUGCGGACGUUGUCUUGCAGGUGUUCGUUCCUGACGACAAACGACGGGGAGUUGGCUGCAAUAGAUUGGCACGCUAGGAACAGGAGAAGAGAAACAAUAUUCACUAUGGUGAAAAUUAGAGCCCAACAUUCGACUGCAACCGGAUCAGCGAGACUCUUCCCGUCGGGAAGUGAUUCCUCCCCCUUCUCCAGUAGCAGAGCCUAGUUCCUCACGUUCUGUGGUCACCACGGACGUCCAGAUCGCUGCACUCGUACAGCAGAUGACUGUUCUUACGGAGGCGGUCAGAAGCCUCCAAUAGCAGCAGACUCAGCCACCAUAGCCACCGACGGAGCAACCGGUAGCGCAAUCGAUAUCAUCCAGGUACAGCCUCCGUCAUCCACGACGAUCACAAUUUUUUUUACCAGAGCGAUAUUUCAGCUCUCUCAUCGAGAUGAGCAGCGACACUCACGGCACUCUCGACACGCCAUCCACCAUUCACGACGUCCCUCUCCUUCUUAAUUGGAUCGAGCAAAGAAGGAAAAACGACCACGAACACCAUCUACUUCCCCCUCUAACUCAUCGAGAGGUUCUACCCCCAGAGUUUUCCAACGAUGACUUAAUGAUUACGAACGUAAAUUUCAAGAGAUCAAUCGCCAAAUUGCUCAACUUCAAGUGAAAGGUCGGAAAUCCUCCAACGAUUACGACUUUCACACCAUCCAGCCGCUUUCUCGACAUAUCUUAGACCAACCGAUCCCAUCUCGAUUCAAGAUGCCUCAAGUGGAGCUGUACGACAGAUCCACCGACCCGAUCGACCACCGUGAGAGCUACAAAGCUCUCAUGACAAUUCAGGGGGCCACCGAUGCCCUCUAUGCAUCGGCUUCCCGGCAACUCUUCAGAAAGCUGCUCGGGCCUAGUAUUCCGGGCUUCAGUUGGGAAGCAUAUACUCUUUUGGACAGUUAGAACAUUCUUUCGUGGCUCAUUUCAACACCAGUCGAAGGCCGCCACGCACUUCUAAUAGUCUCUUCUCGAUUAAACAAAGAGAGACUGAAACACUUCGAAAUUUCGUGGCUCGCUUUAAUGCGGCCACACUUGAGGUCAAAGAUCUCAAUGAAAAUAUGGCUAUCUCGACCAUGAAAAGAGGUCUGAGGAGAUCUCGAUUUACAUAUUCUUUGGACAAAACUCUCCCUCGAAUUUAUGCUGAACUUCUGGAGCACGCAUACAAAUACAUUCGCGCAGAUAAAGGAGCUUCUGACCGACGCCAGAUAGAAGGCAAAAGUCAGAAGAAGAAGAAGCAAAAGAAGGAAGGAGCUUCGGCCGAAUCAAGUCGGCCAUCAUCCAAUAAGCGGGCUUCACCCCGACGACGGAGUCCAAGGUCGAGUUACGGCAGGUAUGACUCCUAUACUCCUCUUUUCGCUCCUCAUGUACAGAUCCUCAUGGAGAUCGAAGGAGCAAAAUAUCUACGACACCCCCACCAAUGAAGGCGUUGCCGAGGAACCACAACCGGAAGAAAUAUUGUCGGUUCCAUCGUGAUCACGGUCACAAUACCGAACAAUAUAUUCAGCUCAGGGAUGAGAUAGAGGUCCUGAUUCGAUGAGGCUACCUCGGCAAAUACCGGAGAGAUCCACCGACUCAACCUCCUGCUAAUCGACGACCUCAACUGCAAACUGAGGAGGCUGUAAAUAAUCAACUGACUGCAGGGGUGAUCAACAUGAUCUUCGAACGAUUGGACAGAGGGGCAACUUCUGAAGACUAGUCGACAAAGCGACGAUGACUCGACAAUGUAAUAAUUUUUUCGGAAGAAGAUGUUCGGAGGAUUCAAACUCCCUAUGAUGAUGCUGUUAUUGUUUCAGCAACAAUAGCAAACUAUGAUAUAAAAAGAAUCUUUGUAGAUAAUGAAAGUUCAACUGAUGUUUUAUUUUAUUCGAUUUUCUCCCGAAUGCGACUGCCGAAUGAGCGACUCAGAAGAGUCUCAACACCAUUGGUCGGCUUCACAGGAGAUGCUGUCACAGUGGAAGGAGAAAUCUCUCUCCUUAACUGCUGGGACUGAACCACAGUAAAGCACUGUUUUCAUAACAUUCAUGAUAGUUCGGGUACCCUCGGCUUAUAACGCCAUACUCGGACGACCCGGGCUUAAUGUCCUGAAAGCAGUGGUUUCGAUAUACCAUCUGUUAGUCCGAUUCGGCGAUUCCCAACAAGACAUGGAGUCGGAGAAAUACAUGGAGAACAAUAACUCGCUCGACGUUGCUUCCUUGUCUCCACUCAAAAUAACAAAUCUAAAGACUCUUUGUCUGUUGACAAAUUAGACCAAAGAGAAAAUCAAAAGAGGGGUGAACUGGCUGAACAACUGGUUUCCAUCCCAUUAAAAGAAGAUCCCGAGAAAAUGGUCUAAAUCGGAUCAUAAUUGCCUGAUUUAGAGCGGCAACAACUAAUAAAAUUGCUCAGGACUAAUGCCGACAUUUUUGCUUGGUCGGCAAUCGACAUGUUCGGAAUUUUUCUAGAAAUAAUAACUCACCGACCUAACAUCAAUCCAAAUAUUAAGCCGGUAAGACAGAAGAAACGACCUUUUCCUCCUGAAAGAUAAAAGGUUAUUGAUGAAGAAGUAGAUAAACUCCUUGCAGCAGACUUCAUCAGAGAAGCUACAUAUUCCGACUAGCUUGCCAAUGUGGUAAUGGUGAGAAAAGCUAAUGGAAAGUGGAAGAUCUGCAUCGACUAUAUUGAUCUGAAUGUAGCUUGUCCGAAAGAUGGCUUUUCUUUGCCAAAGAUUGACCAAUUGAUCGAUGCGACUUCCGGCCACCGACUUCUGAGUUUUAUGGAUGUCUUUGUCGAAUAUAACCAAAUUCGUAUGGCACCAAAAGAUGAGGAGCACACGACUUUUGUGAUCGACAAAGGUAUAUACUGCUACAAAGUAAUAUCUUUCAGUCUAAAAAAUAUCGGUGCUACCUAUCAACGGCUUGUCAACAAGAUCUUCAAGAUGCAGAUCGGACAGAACAUGGAAGUAUAUGUGAAUGACAUGUUGGUGAAGAGUCUCCAAACUUCAGAUCAUGUUCGAGAUCUGGAGGAAGCUUUCAGCACACUUCGACGGCAUCAGAUGAAAUUAAAUCCAACCAAAUGUGCAUUUGGAGUAACCCCCGAAAAAUUCUUCGGAUUUCUUGUUCACAACAAGGGAUCGAGGCUAAUCCCGAAAAGAUCAAAACCAUCAUCGAUAUGAAGCACCCGAGUUCAAAGAAAGAGAUACAGCAACUCAAUGGAAGGAUUGUCGUGCUCAACAGAUUUAUUUUUAGAUCGAUCAAAAGAUGCUUUCCAUUCUUCAAAACUUUACGACAGACGAAGGAUUUCUUAUGGUCAGAUGAAUGCCGAUAAUCCUUCGAAGACUUAAAACAAUACUUGGCUUCUCCACCUUUGCUCACAAAACCAAGGGUCGGAGAGAUUGUAUCUCUACUUGGCAACUUCAGCAGAAGCAGUUAGUUCGGUGCUCGUCCAAGAGGAUGAGAACCGAAUUCAUCGAUCAAUCUACUACACCAGCAAAGUGCUUCACAAUGCCGAAGUUCGAUAUUCAAGGACAGAGAAAAUGAUCUACGUCCUGAUUUUAUCGGUACAACAACUUCGUCCAUACUUUCAAGUCCAUCAAAUUAUAGUUUUGACAGAUCAGCCGCUGAAAGCGAUCUUACAUCGGCCUGACACAUCAAGUCAGAUGGCAAAGUAGGCAGUAAAGCUUAGUGAAUUCGACAUUCAAUAUCGCCCACGACCGUCCAUGAAGGCACAAGUCCUAGCUAAUUUCGUUGCCGAAUGUACCAUAUCCGAUAAUAAGCCAGAAGACACAGAUGGCAACACAAUAAAAGAGGAUAUGACUCCCGACCCCGACCUAGGGUCGAUCUGGGUGCUGCACAUUGACGGAGCAUCUAAUGCACAAGAUAGUGGAGCCGGCCUUAUACUCAUAAAUUUCGAAGGAGUAGUCACCGAAUACGCCCUUCAAUUCAAUUUUAAAGCCUCAAAUAACCAAGCCGAAUAUGAAGUACUUUUGGCCGGCUUGAAGAUAGCCAAAGAGCUCGAGAUCGACAGUUUGAAGGUCUUCACCGACUCACAACUAAUUGCUGGACAAGUCAAGGGUGAAUUUGAAGCCCGAGAUCUUACUAUGAUGAAGUACCUUCAAAAGGUGAAAGAUGUUACGGCGAGUUUGAAACACUUCGAGAUCUUUCAUAUCCCCAGAACUGAGAAUGCUCGGGCCGACAUACUUUCACGACUGGCUACUACUGCUUUCAACUCACUGGGUCAAACAUUUGUCGAAUGUCUCGAGUAGCCGAGCAUUGACAAAAUUGAGGAAGUAUUGCAGCUUACUAUCAAACCGAGUUGGAUGGAUCCGAUCGUCCAAUACCUGAAUGAUGGGAUCCUUCCUGUGGAUUCCUCAGAGGCCAAACGACUCCGAUGGACAGCCUCUCAAUAUAUGAUGAUAAGUGGUCAUCUAUACAAAACAUCCUUCUCUCUCCUCUUGCUGAACUGUUUGGGACCUACAGAUGCCGACUAUGCACUUCGAGAAGUACACGAAAGGAUUUGCGAAAAUCACUUGGAGGACAAGUCUCUAGCUUAUAAAAUCCUGCGACAAGGAUAUUAUUGGCCCACCAUAAAAAAAGAUGUAGCUGAACUCAUCCGAAGAUGUGAACCAUGUCAAAAGUAUAUGAAUAUACAACAUCAGCCGACUAGUCAACUGACAUCGAUUGUAGCACCAUGACCCUUCGUACAAUGGAGGAUUGACAUACUUGAUCCUUUUUCCCCAACAUCUGGUCAGAAAAAAUUUAUAAUGAUCGCCAUCGACUACUUUACCAAAUGGAUAGAAGCCGAACCUCUGGUGCAAAUCACCGAAAGCACGAUGAAAGACUUCAUCUAGAAAUUCAUCAUUUACAGAUUCGGUUUGCCACACACCAUCAUUAUCGACAAUGGUCGAUAAUUUGACAACCAAAAUUUUAGAGAGUUUUGUGCUAAAUUUCAUAUCACGCACAAACUCACUUCGAUCGGCCAUCCACAGUCAAAUGGUCAAGUUGAAGUAACCAACCGAACAAUCUUGCACGGACUGAAGAUCCGACUGAAUGAAGCCAAAGAUCUCUGGAUGGAAGAACUAUAUCUGAUCUUAUGGGCAUAUUGGACAACUCCCCGCAUACCGAUAGGAGAAUCCCCCUUCAAUUUAUCUUAUGGAAUAGAAGCUAUGAUACCGCUCGAGAUCGGAUUGCCAUCAAUAAGAGUCGAACAAUAUGUGAACCGAGCAACUCUGAAUGUUGGAGAGCCGAUCUAGAUCUCCUUUCAGAACUCCGACAGCAAGCUUAAAUUCGAAUGGCUGCAUAUCGACAAAGGAUAGCCUGGUAUUAUAAUGCAAGAGUCAAGCCGAAAGUCUUUCGAUCAGGAGAUUUGAUCUUAAGAAAAGCAGAAGUAUCAAAACCUUUGGAUCAAAGAAAACUAUCUCCAAACUGGAAAGGACCUUACAGAAUAUCCGAGACUCUUGGACCGGAUGCAUAUCGACUGAAAACUCUCGAAGGGUCGGCGAUUCUCCGAACGUGGAAUGCCGAUAAUUUGAAGAUGUAUUAUCAAUAAAGUCGUCAAAAUGUACAUUAUUUGAAAUACAAUCAAAAUUUCAGAAUCACAAAUUUUUGACAAGUUUUAUCAACUACCGACUGAAUGUCAGCUUUCAUUCUCAAAGCCGAGUUGUUUCCUGUACUUAGGCACAAAGAAUCAACUACUUCAGUGAGAAUUGUAUCUCAGUUCUCCUGCAAUAACCGACAUCGACUACAGGCUUCGCUACAAAAAUCGAAUUACUGACUAUAUUUCGGUUCUCAAUAUCGGCUUUCCAUUGCAAAAGCUGACUAUAGUCGAAAGAUUAAUAUGCCAACUUAGUCCCAACUAAGCGGAAUGAAAAAUACCAAAACGAUCAAGAUCGGAUGGAAUUAUACCGGCUAGGCUACGGCCAGUCGAAAGAUAUUCGGCUUGCCAUCGAUUAUCAAAUAAUUUGACGUACAAGCCCGAUUAAAUGUCGGACACGAGAUAUUCGACCUACAAUCAUUAUCCUAAUUUUGUUAAGUACGUCAAAAUGAUUAUAUGACUAAUGGAUAUUCUACAAGUCCUACUGAAUGAUCGGACAACCAAUUAAUGUUCGGUGAUUAUUCUACAUCGCAGACAUUGCAGGCAUUAUCAACAAGCAAAAUAAGAGACAAAAUUUGAAAGAAAAUGCUUUAAUUCAUUAUCAAAAAGAGUUACAAAAUUGAACCGAAGUUCGACUACAAGUGUCAGAUUACACAAAAAAAAAAAAACAAAAUACACUGACUAAGCUUCGUUAUCAUUCCUUUGUUCAGGUGUAGUAUCCCUGACUUGAAUGAUUUCGGGCUCAGUCGGUGCUUCUUCUUGAAUCGGAGUGGCUUCUUCUUCAGCAAUUCCGUCUUCCGAUCUUAGAAAGAUGAUGCCGCUCAAGUCGAGAUCUGGACACAACUCUCCGAUCAUUUCGCUUGACCGACCACAUCAACAGCCUGACCCACUCAUACAGAAACAAAGAGGACUUCAGAUUUUCGUCCACCAUCAUUAGCAUCCUUGGUUGCGUAGCUUAAACGAGGAUAUAAAGUACAUAAUGAUAGCUUAUUCACCUGACCAUCGGCUCCAUGAGCGAAAAGUUGAAACUGCUCCCGGAGCCGUUCCAUAUUCGAUUCCGAAAGUGAAGAGAACACAUCUGGACUCGACUGGGACUCAUCAGUCGGAUUCUCCGAUCGAUCUUUUCGAGAAGGAGAAGCCCUAGCCAUGAGAAUUACUCUAAAGAAGACUUUAAAAGAAAAAAGAAAGGACUCGAAAGAAAGGCAAAGUUGACCUGAAAGCUGGGAGCGAUAACCUUGGGCAUUGGAGCAACAACCCGACAGAGUCCCAGCACCACCAAAGACAGUGAAAAAUAAAAAUUUGACUGAGAGCAACCCUAUAUAUAUAUAUAUAAGAUCCCUCAACGGCCGUGAUGAGAGCGGUCAAAUCGAAGAUCCACCAGAUGACGACACGUGACAACAUCUGGACCAAUCAUUGAUCGAACAGUUCGACGCACCUGUUCCAGAUUAAACCAUGUCACCCCUAUCUGUGUGAACAAUUCCGACCCAAUAACAUCCGAACACGUGGAACAGAUCUACUUGUCAAAAUUAUAUCAUUUGAUGCCGAAUCCACUUUUUGAAAUGACGCCUGACACUGACAACUGAUACCGAAUCGUCCGAUCAGUGUAACUGACGAUUGUACCUGCCAAUACGAUAAAAUAGCCGAUCAUCCGUAUCUCGAAGGAAACGACGUCAAAAUUGGAGCUCGAUGUGAUAGAGCUCUCUUCGUCUAAUGUGAUAAACUACGUGAUAAUUUACAUGUUGGAUCAGUUUAGACUUGAGAGUGGGGGACAACUGUUGGGGUAAAUCCAUCGACCCCAACUUUGAUCUCUAUGACUCCGACUGAUCGACUCUGACUCGGCAAUAGCCGACCGAUCGAACGUAUGACUCCAACUGAUCGACUCCGACUCAGCAAUAGCCGACCGACUAAACUGACGACUCCGACUCUUCAUUAAUCGAUUGAACAAAUGUCACCGACUUAUGACCGAUGAUCGACGAUACGACAGAAUCACCAACUGACGAUUGUGCCUACUACCGACAUACAGUCGGCUAAUCUGUUCAAUAUGCCUUAACCGUCGCGAAUGGUUACCGGCUGCACAUCACGGCGUCAUAAUUGAAAAAUCAAUGACCCACUACGCGAUUAUGGCCCGAUGAUUUAGCGCCAUAAAAUGCAGGACCACAUCCGACGGUUACAAGAACCUUGUCUAUAAAAAGAGGUAAAGAAAAUGAGGCUGAUAAGCCACUUCUAACCAGAACUCUGCUACUUUGAAUAUUGACAUCUACUGUUCACCAACUUUCCUCUCUAACUUAAGCAUCGGAGGGUCCCCACCGGACACAAAUCUGGUCAGUGCGGAUGUUGUCUUGCAGGUGUUCGUUUUCGGUGACAGACGACGGGGAGUGGGCCACAAUAGUAACCAAUAACCCUAUCAUGCUUACGCUCAAUUUCUUGACGCAUCCUUUAGCUUCUACUCUUUUCCUAGCAUGCAUAAUGAGAGUCUUCCUCAUGGAAAUGGUUCCUCCAGUGAAUCUCUUAUGGCCAGCUCACUUGUAUGGCACCUGUUUGCCUUGUUUUCUUUUGAAUAAAUUCUACAUAGUUCUUGUCUAAUAUUGAAGCUAGAUUAACAGUUUGUUUCGUCUCAGGUGUCCUAUUAAAACAUAAUUGACUAUUCAAAUUUCGUGUAAACAAAGCCAGUUUCCUUUCAGGAGUUAUGACUCAAGAACACAUAUUUGAGGCAGGUAAGUAUGUGUCUUGAAGCUCCAAAUAUCUCUCGAUCCGAGGGUAUCAAAGGAGACAACCAAGAAGGUGGCUGUUUGGGGGGAUAGAAAUGGGCGAAAGAAAGUAAAAAACUUGCAUUAAAACCUAUGAAAUCUUUGAGGAACGCUAAAUAAAAGUUCAUAUAAUAAAGAAAUUAUCAAUUUUUUUGUGUAAGAAAGUGGAAAAAGAAGAGUGAAAUUGAGCGGAAGAAAAUGGAAACAAGACGAUAUAGACGUAGAGUGUCCUUCCAAUUUUAUCGGAUGUCCCUGAAGAGAUAUAGACGUAGAGUGGAAUUGAGAAGAGCUAGUGUUGGAUAGGUUACCUGCUUCCAAGAAGAGAGAAGCUCCUAAGCCUUUGAGAGGACUCCAAUUUGGGAGCAACGGCGGUCGCCAUGGGCCGAUUCCAGAAGAAGAAGCGAAGGGGAAGGCGAUAAGGAGGAAGCAGGAAGAGGCGACGGAAACCCAGCCCUUUCUUGUCGGAUUCCGAAUUGCCGGAGAUUAAGAGGAAACUAUCGAGGUCCCUAAGCUGUGCUUCAAUCGCGCAUAGGUUCUCAGAACUAUAUUGAAGUCCAUAGCGGCUUACUUGCAAAUAACCCGCUGCGUUGCGGAAGUUGGCUUAAUAUUAGAG